rnacentral:miRNA from 1 species
AUACAAAGCACCUGGGCAUCUUGUUAAACUGCAGUCUCAUUCAGUAAGUCUGAGAUUCCACAUUUCCAACAAGCUCCAGGUGAUGCUGAU